AUUGAACGCUGGCGGCAUGCCUUACACAUGCAAGUCGAACGGCAGCACGGGGCAACCUGGUGGCGAGUGGCGAACGGGUGAGUAAUGCAUCGGAACGUGCCAUUGAGUGGGGGAUAACGUAGCGAAAGUUGCGCUAAUACCGCAUAUUCUGUGAGCAGGAAAGCAGGGGGACCGCAAGGCCUUGCGCUCUUUGAGCGGCCGAUGUCAGAUUAGCUAGUUGGCGGGGUAAAGGCCUACCAAGGCGACGAUCCGUAGCGGGUCUGAGAGGAUGAUCCGCCACACUGGGACUGAGACACGGCCCAGACUCCUACGGGAGGCAGCAGUGGGGAAUUUUGGACAAUGGGCGCAAGCCUGAUCCAGCCAUGCCGCGUGAGUGAAGAAGGCCUUCGGGUUGUAAAGG
rnacentral:rRNA from 1 species